rnacentral:rRNA from 1 species
AGUACCGUGAGGGAAAGGCGAAAAGAACCCCGGGAGGGGAGUGAAAUAGAACCUGAAACCACAUGCAUACAAACAGUAGGAGCCUCACCAGAGGUGACUGCGUACCUUUUGCAUAAUGGGUCAGCGACUUACAUUCUGUGGCGAGCUUAACCGAAUAGGGGAGGCGCAGCGAAAGCGAGUUCGAAAUGAGCGUCCAGUCGCAGGGUGUAGACCCGAAACCAGAUGAUCUAUCCAUGGCCAGGUUGAAGGCACGGUAACACGUGCUGGAGGACCGAACCCACUAAUGUUGAAAAAUUAGGGGAUGAGCUGUGGAUAGGGGUGAAAGGCUAAACAAAUCUGGAAAUAGCUGGUUCUCUCCGAAAACUAUUUAGGUAGU